rnacentral:tRNA from 1 species
GUAGUGGUGGCUCAGUGGUAGAACUCUUGCCUUCCAUGCUGGAGACCUGAGUUUGAUUCCCGGCCAAGGCA